UACGAAGGGGGCUAGCGUUGUUCGGAAUUACUGGGCGUAAAGCGCGCGCAGGCGGUCUUCCAAGUCAGUGGUGAAAGCCCGGAGCUCAACUCCGGAACUGCCAUUGAAACUGUUAGACUUGAGGACGAGAGAGGUGAGUGGAAUUCCCAGUGUAGAGGUGAAAUUCGUAGAUAUUGGGAAGAACACCGGUGGCGAAGGCGGCUCACUGGCUCGUAUCUGACGCUCAGGCGCGACAGCGUGGGGAUCAUACAGG
rnacentral:rRNA from 1 species